UACGCUGGCGGCACGCCUAACACAUGCAAGUCGAACGAAGUAGCAAUACUUAGUGGCAGACGGGUGAGUAACAUGUGGGUAUCUACCCUUUGGCCUGGAAUAACACGAGGAAACUUGUGCUAAUACCGGAUAAGUCUUUACGGAGAAAGCUUUAUGCACCAAUGGAUGAGCCCGCACUAGAUUAGUUUGUUGGUGGGGUAAUGGCCUACCAAGACUGUGAUCUAUAGCUGAUUUGAGAGGAUGAUCAGCCACAUUGGGACUGAGACACGGCCCAAACUCCUACGGGAGGCAGCAGUGGGGAAUCUUGCACAAUGGAGGAAACUCUGAUGCAGCGAUGCCGCGUGAGUGAAGAAGGCCCUUGGGUUGUAAAGCUCUUUCGUCGGGGAAGAAAAUGACUGUACCCGAAUAAGAAGGUCCGGCUA
rnacentral:rRNA from 1 species